UGCUGCCGGUACUAACAGGAAAUCCCAAACCUCCUUCCACNGCAAAAGACUAUGUGAAGAGCCANCAGGUGUUUUGAAUCCUAGACAGUCUUCAAGCCCUGUUCAAACCCAGCAAAAACUUUCAAACCAAUUAGGAAGCAAGAUAAAUGAAACACAUUACUAAGCAGGUACUGGCACGUGCUUUGUGAACAAGAGAGGAAGCCAAGUAAUUUGUCUGACAUCCCAGCUUUGAAAAACUACCUCCCCACUAAAAAAAAUAAAAUAAAAAAGUUGUCAUUCAUUGCAAUCUAAAAUUUCACAAAGUGCAGUGAGUACAGCUGGAUUCUGAAUUUCUGAUAGAAGCUGUGAAGAAAAGGGUCAUUAUUUUGGGACACCCCAGGCAGACCAUGGGCAUCGGGAACAUCUAAAGAAUUAUACUUUGCGCAAGCAAAACAAAGGUGUCAGUGCCAGGUUGUCAGUCACAUUGUAGAUGACAUCACUCAGACAUCUGCUUUACAGAUGGACUUCUAAGUUGUGACCAGCACUGCCUGACCUCAGGAGAACAGUUUGGAAAGUCUCUGUUGAAACUUUACAGAGGAUCCCAGUGGGUCUAAAUGCAAGAACGGAUUCAGUGAUUUUGGGAAAGAUCUAAAUNCCACAUGGACUAUAUUUUCCACAUACUUGACUGCAAUGAGUUCUGUAUGUGCAUAUGAUUGUUGGUCACCGGUAACUCUGCCUUUCUGACAUGUUGGAAAAACAACAUUGGUUCCUACGGCAUCCUUACAGUCUUCAGUGUUUUUAUCAAUAAGGAAAAAAAACCUUAUUCCCUCCAUGUAAUGCUCAUAUAGUU
rnacentral:lncRNA from 1 species